rnacentral:rRNA from 1 species
CCGUAAACGAUGUCUACUUGGAGGUUGGUGUCUUGAACACUGGCUUUCGGAGCUAACGCGUUAAGUAGACCGCCUGGGGAGUACGGUCGCAAGAUUAAAACUCAAAUGAAUUGACGGGGGCCCGCACAAGCGGUGGAGCAUGUGGUUUAAUUCGAUGCAACGCGAAGAACCUUACCUACUCUUGACAUCCACGGAAUCCUGCAGAGAUGCGGGAGUGCCUUCGGGAACCGUGAGACAGGUGCUGCAUGGCUGUCGUCAGCUCGUGUUGUGAAAUGUUGGGUUAAGUCCCGCAACGAGCGCAACCCUUAUCCUUGUUUGCCAGCACUUCGGGUGGGAACUCCAGGGAGACUGCCGGUGAUAAACCGGAGGAAGGUGGGGACGACGUCAAGUCAUCAUGGCCCUUACGAGUAGGGCUACACACGUGCUACAAUGGCAUAUACAGAGGGCAGCAAGACCGCGAGGUGGAGCGAAUCCCACAAAGUAUGUCGUAGUCCGGAUUGGAGUCUGCAACUCGACUCCAUGAAGUCGGAAUCGCUAGUAAUCGUGGAUCAGAAUGCCACGGUGAAUACGUUCCCGGGCCUUGUACACACCGCCCGUCACACCAUGGGAGUGGGCUGCACCAGGAGUAGAUAGCUUAACCUUCGGGAGGGCGUUUA